GCUUUAAAUGACCCAAUUAGUCGAGUGAUCAUAAAAUGAUAAUUUGUGGCAGAAAUACUUUUAACCCACGUUCAAAUCCAGACUCAAAACCAACAUGUUUGAAUCUACUUCUUCACUUUGUUUUCUGUCUAUUCUUUGCUGGCUUUUUAUUUUAUUUGACUUUAUUCUGUUAUUGUUAUGUACAGUGCCCUUGACUGACAUGAAAGGGGCUUCAAAUGAAACUGAUUAUUAUUACACCACCGUGUAGCCCAUCAGUUGUUAUUUUAAUCAGAAAUGGAGCGAUUUUAAAGCAUCUCUCUUUAAAUAAAACAAACCAAAAAAAACUUUUCUACAAAUAUUUAAGUUUUUAACAUUACAGUCCGAGACCAUGUGUCCAUGUUGCAGUUUUUUUUUUUAUUUAAUCCAAAGUAUAAAACAGUAAAUAACUGGCACACAAUGUCAACCAAAAGAAAUGAGAAAACUAAAGACAGCGCGUCGCCUUCCCCCUGCUGUGAUGUUUGUCUAACAUCCAGAACGUUCUCUCUAAGACCUCCACCUCUGACAUUUGCUCCCUCACUGCCGUCCUGUAGCUUAACUUAAGGUAGUUCUGACCUUCUGAGGCUGAAUUCAUGUCCUGAAGCUGCCUUCACCUGCACUGUCUGACAGUCUAGCCCUCCCAGGGGGGGCUGCGGCGCCCGUCCACGUCCGUCUCCACGUGGUACAGCAUGUCCGCCAGCGUGUGCUCGAUCACCGCCCCCCAGCCCAUGUCGCUAAUCUGGAGGGAGAAAAACGAACGGCGUUGAAGGAGGGGAGAACCGAGAGGGGCGGAGAGGUCGGGAGGUCCAGGAUCUCACCGGCUGGUACUUGACGUCCUUCGGGGCGAACUUGAAAUGUGGACCAAAGUUGACAGAAACCUAUAGAAGAAGCAGCGUCAGCUCAGUUGAGAGGACAGAAAGGUUAAAGGUCAGCGUGAGGUCAGACCGUGCAGCUCUUGUAGAGGGAGAUUGCGGGGUAGUAGAUCCCUUCAAACAGGUUUUCAAAGGCGACCCCUUGGCUCACUCCGUUCUUGUAGAAAAUCAUCUGAAACGCAGACGGAGGCGUGAACAGAGCCGGGUUCAUCAUCUGGACCUGCUCGCAGGAGCGCCGCUCACCUUGCUGGGGCUCGUGGCUUUCAGCGCCUUCUCUGCUUUGUCCACGUAGUCCUUCUCCUCAAAGUACAGGUAGCUCUUGAACUUAAUGAGCGCCUGAAACCAGAGUUCAGAAGAGUUCAGAGGAUCCAGGCGUGGUUCUGCUUCUGGAGGACGCGACGGCUACCUUGUCUUUGUAGGUGUCGGGCAGAGACCGGGCCGUCUCCGUGCCGUCCGGCAGCUCGAUGAAGAAGCCCAGCGUGUCGCCCUGGCCGUACCCCGACGAGUAGUGCUUCCCGAUGGACUGGUGGAACCGGGUGCCUUUUUUACUGCGCCACGAGUAGCUGAACUUGUCAUAACCCAGAGGAGCCUGGAGAUUACCUGGAAAGGAAAUGCAAAGCCCCGCCCACUGAGUUCAUCUCCUGUUAUUAGGGAAUACAGGCUGAGUACUGUGAUUACACUCAGUUGGUGUUCUUAA
rnacentral:lncRNA from 1 species